rnacentral:rRNA from 1 species
UACGUAGGGUGCGAGCGUUGUCCGGAAUUAUUGGGCGUAAAGAGCUCGUAGGCGGUCUGUCGCGUCGAUCGUGAAAACUUGGGGCUUAACCCUGAGCUUGCGGUCGAUACGGGCAUGACUGGAGUUCGGCAGGGGAGACUGGAAUUCCUGGUGUAGCGGUGAAAUGCGCAGAUAUCAGGAGGAACACCGAUUGCGAAGGCAGCUCGCUGGGACGUAACUGACGCUGAGACGCGAAAGCGUGGGGAGCAAACAGG